ACCAGUUCCUGAAAGAUCACUGAAAUUAAGAAACUUUGAGUGUGGUCAGUAUCUGGAUGGAUGACCGCCUGGAAAAUCUCGUACUGCUGCAG
rnacentral:rRNA from 1 species